UUCUUCAGUCAUGAGAAACUCACAACUGCGGUGACAUCAUACCCAGCCAGGAGGCUCUCCCCAGCCUUCUUCUCCGCCCUAAGUCAAAGCCGUCUAAUUAGCACCUUUAACUGGAACUCUAUCUUAUAAAAACCAACUGGAGAAGGUCUUGCUGUGCUGCUUAGGCUGGUCUUAAACUCCUGGGCUCAAGUGAUCCUUUUGCCUCAGCCUCCUAGGGCAAGGUACCAACUGGAGACAUCCUCUGCACCUCCAAAGCCCCUGAAGUGAUUCAAAUGAGCCGGUCCUAAACUAUGUACAUGCUCUGCCUUGAGUUUCCCGUGGAAAGCCAAUAAAUGUUGUGGUCU